rnacentral:miRNA from 1 species
AUCUCAGAAGCUAAGAAGGGUCGGGCCUGGUUAGUACUUGGGUGGGAGAAUCACUUAUUCUACUACUGUCUUCUUUAUUUUCCUACCAUUGCUGUUCUUUUGUUUAUUUUUGCUCAUUGAUCUCAUCUUUUGACUUGGGUGAUUUGUUUCU